rfam:Schistosoma mattheei strain Denwood, Zambia genome assembly, scaffold: SMTD_scaffold0008994
AUCCGUCUGACGAGUCGCAAAUAGGACGAAACUUGUGUUCCGGAU